GUCUAUGGCCAUACCACCCUGAAUGCGCCCAAUCUUGUCUGAUCUCGGAAGUCAAGUAGGGUCAGGCCUGGUUAGUACUUGGAUGGGAGAUAGCCGGUAGAAGUGUGCC
rnacentral:rRNA from 1 species